GAUGAACGCUGGCGGCGUGCCUAAUACAUGCAAGUCGAGCGAACAGACGAGGAGCUUGCUCCUCUGACGUUAGCGGCGGACGGGUGAGUAACACGUGGAUAACCUACCUAUAAUACUGGGAUAACUUCGGGAAACCGGAGCUAAUACCGGAUAAUAUAUUGAACCGCAGGGAUCAAUAGUUAAAGACGGCUUUGCUGUUACUUAUAGAUGGAUCCGCGCCGCAUUAGCUAGUUGGUAAGGUAACGGCUUACCAAGGCGACGAUGCGUAGCCGACCUGAGAGGGUGAUCGGCCACACUGGAACUGAGACACGGUCCAGACUCCUACGGGAGGCAGCAGUAGGGAAUCUUCCGCAAUGGGCGAAAGCUUGACGGAGCAACGCCGCGUGAGUGAUGAAGGUCUUCGGAUCGUAAAACUCUGUUAUUAGGGAAGAACAAAUGUGUAAGUAACUAUGCACGUCUUGACGGUACCUAAUCAGAAAGCCACGGCUAACUACGUG
rnacentral:rRNA from 1 species